CCUACGGGCGGCAGCAGUGAGGAAUAUUGGUCAAUGGACGAGAGUCUGAACCAGCCAAGUAGCGUGAAGGAUGACUGCCCUAUGGGUUGUAAACUUCUUUUAUAUGGGAAUAAAACGUUCCACGUGUGGGAUUUUGUAUGUACCAUAUGAAUAAGGAUCGGCUAACUCCGUGCCAGCAGCCGCGGUAAUACGGAGGAUCCGAGCGUUAUCCGGAUUUAUUGGGUUUAAAGGGAGCGUAGGUGGAUUGUUAAGUCAGUUGUGAAAGUUUGCGGCUCAACCGUAACAUUGCAGUUGAAACUGGCAGUCUUGAGUACAGUAGAGGUGGGCGGAAUUCGUGGUGUAGAGGUGAAAUGCUUAGAUAUCACGAAGAACUCCGAUUGCGAAGGCAGUUCACUGGACUGCAACUGACACUGAGGCUCGAAAGUGUGGGUAUCAAACAGGAUUAGAUACCCGGGUAGUC
rnacentral:rRNA from 1 species